AUGAAGAAACUCCAUACUGAUGGACUUCUGGAAUCACUUGAUUAUGAAUCACUUGGUACUUGCGAACCGUGCCUCAUGGGCAAGAUGACCAAAACGCCGUUCUCUGGAACUAUGGAGCGAGCAACUGAUUUGUUGGAAAUCAUACAUACUGAUGUAUGUGGUCCAAUCAAUAUUGAGGCUCGCGGCGGGUAUCGUUAUUUUCUCACCUUCACAGACGAUUUGAGCAAAUAUGGGUAUAUCUACUUGAUGAAACACAAGUCUGAAACAUUUGAAAAGUUCAAAGAAUUUCAGAGUGAAGUGGAAAAUCAUCGUAACAAGAAAAUAAAAAUUCUAUGA
rnacentral:rRNA from 1 species